rnacentral:rRNA from 1 species
GACGAACGCUGGCGGCGUGCUUAACACAUGCAAGUCGAACGGAAAGGCCCUGCUUUUGUGGGGUGCUCGAGUGGCGAACGGGUGAGUAACACGUGAGUAACCUGCCCUUGACUUUGGGAUAACUUCAGGAAACUGGGGCUCAUACCGGAUAGGAGCUCCUGCUGCAUGGUGGGGGUUGGAAAGUUUCGGCGGUUGGGGAUGGAAUCGCGGCUUAUCAGCUUGUUGGUGGGGUAGUGGCAUACCAAGGCUUUGCCGGGUAGCCGGCCUGAGAGGGUGAGCGGCCACACUAGGACGGAGAUACGACACAGACUACAACGGGACGCAGGGGUGGAGAAUAGUGCACAAUGCGCGGAAGGCUGAUGUAGCAACGCCGCGCGGGGGAAGAGGGGCUGGGGGUUGGAAUGCGAUGUCGCCUUGUACGGAGCGAGAGUGACGGUACCGGGUAAAGAAGCACCGGCUAACUACGUG